AGCCGUUUUGCUGCCCUUUUGCUUUUGGAAACUAGGGGAUGUGGUGUCAAACCACGCAUAAGUGAAUGUCAUACAGUCUUUUCCUGGCCUUAUAUUGCAUUUAGUGCAAGAGCUUCAUAGUAACAACU
rnacentral:snoRNA from 1 species